CGGGGUGCAGCAGGCGCGAAAACUUUACAAUGCUGGCAACAGCGAUAAGGGGACCUCGAGUGCCAGGAUACAAUCUUGGCUGUCGUGAUGCCUAAAAAGCAUUGCAUAGCAAGGGCCGGGCAAGACCGGUGCCAGCCGCCGCGGUAACACCGGCGGCUCGAGUGGUAACCGCUAUUAUUGGGUCUAAAGGGUCUGUAGCCGGCCGGAUAAGUCUCUUGGGAAAUCCAGCAGCUCAACUGUUGGGCUUUCAGGAGAUACUGUUCGGCUCGAGACCGGGAGAGGUGAGAGGUACUUCAGGGGUAGGGGUGAAAUCUUGUAAUCCUCGAAGGACCACCAGUGGCGAAGGCGUCUCACCAGAACGGAUCUGACGGCAAGGGACGAAAGCUAGGGGCACGAACCGGAUUAGAUACCCGGGUAGUCCUAGCCGUAAACGAUACUCGCUAGGUGUCGGCCACGGUGCGACCGUGGUCGGUGCCGUAGGGAAGCCGUGAAGCGAGCCACCUGGGAAGUACGGCCGCAAGGCUGAAACUUAAAGGAAUUGGCGGGGGAGC
rnacentral:rRNA from 1 species